CUACUUCCCUGGUAGAGGAGACUUCAUGAUCAGGAAGGUAGUUUUCCCAGGGCGAGGCUCACCCAUUGCACUUGGGCUAUGCUGAGUCCUGUGAGUUCCCCAAAUGCAAGGAACUUGACUGUAUCUCUUGUGUUAGUGGGAGACUGCAUUCACACUUUCUCUUG
ensembl:snRNA U1 U1 spliceosomal RNA